GACGAACGCUGGCGGCGUGCUUAACACAUGCAAGUCGAACGGAAAGGCCCUGCUUUUGUGGGGUGCUCGAGUGGCGAUCGGGUGAGUAACACGUGAGUAACCUGCCCUUGACUUUGGGAUAACUUCAGGAAACUGGGGCUAAUACCGGAUAGGAGCUCCUGCUGCAUGGUGGGGGUUGGAAAGUUUCGGCGGUUGGGGAUGGACUCGCGGCUUAUCAGCUUGUUGGUGGGGUAGUGGCUUACCAAGGCUUUGACGGGUAGCCGGCCUGAGAGGGUGACCGGCCACAUGGGGACUGCGGUACGGCCCAGACUCCUACGGGAGGCAGCAGUGGGGAAUAUUGCACAAUGGGCGGAAGCCUGAUGCAGCAACGCCACGUGCGGGAUGACGGCCUUCGGGUUGUAAACCGCUUUCGCCUGUGACGAAGCGUGAGUGACGGUAAUGGGUAAAGAAGCACCGGCUAACUACGUG
rnacentral:rRNA from 1 species